UGUGGCAUUUGGUGUUGCUUGCACGAGGU
rnacentral:piRNA from 1 species